AGAAUUGGGGGCAGUCUACCAUGCAAGUCGAGCGGAAACGAUGGAAGCUUGCUUCCAGGCGUCGAGCGGCGGACGGGUGAGUAAUGCAUAGGAAUCUGCCCGGUAGUGGGGGAUAACCUGGGGAAACCCAGGCUAAUACCGCAUACGUCCUACGGGAGAAAGCAGGGGAUCUUCGGACCUUGCGCUAUCGGAUGAGCCUAUGUCGGAUUAGCUAGUUGGUGAGGUAAUGGCUCACCAAGGCCGCGAUCCGUAGCUGGUCUGAGAGGAUGAUCAGCCACAUCGGGACUGAGACACGGCCCGAACUCCUACGGGAGGCAGCAGUGGGGAAUAUUGGACAAUGGGCGAAAGCCUGAUCCAGCCAUGCCGCGUGUGUGAAGAAGGCCCUCGGGUUGUAAAGCACUUUCAGUGAGGAAGAACGCUUGCGGGUUAAUACCCCG
rnacentral:rRNA from 1 species